CAAUCCAGGUCGGUUUCUAUCUAUAUAGUUGUUUUCUUCAGUACGAAAGGACCAAGAAAACAGGACCAAUGCUAACAGCACAUCCUAAAUACAUGGCUGAACCCAACUAAAGCCAUAACAACACAACCAAUUGCCCGAAGACAACGGGUUA
rnacentral:rRNA from 1 species